rnacentral:tRNA from 2 species
GCGGGUAUAGUAUAGUGGCUAUUAUGUCAGGUUUCCAACCUGAAGACACGGGUUCGACUCCCGUUACCCGCUCCA